GGCCUAACCCGGUAGUUUACUAACGGUAUGGUCGAAAAACAUGAGACAUAAACAACCCAUUAUCAGGGCGUGUCUCAUGUUGCGUAGGGAAACUUACGUAGGGACUUCGGUCCC
rnacentral:sRNA from 1 species